AAGUAGAGUGCCGGCGCUGUCGGGGAGCUCCUGCCCUGACAUUGCUGGCUUUGAAGAUGGUGGAAGGAGAUCAAUCAAGGAAGCAGGUGGCCUCUAAAAGCUGGAAAAAGUACAGAGAGCCUCCACCUUGAUCUUGGCCCAGUUAGAACCCUGUCAGGCUUCCUUCUACCGAGCUGUAAAGAAAUCUGAAGGUGGCAAUUCAGAGCUGGCAUGGCCAUUCCAUGUUCAUCAGGGACCCAGAAUUCUUCAUAUUUCUGCUCCUGCAUUUCCUACACUUGGUUCGCUUUCUCAAAGUCACCUCAUAGUUCAAACUGCUGCUGGAUAUCCAGUCAUUACUGCCAUUUUCCAGGAUGAUUAACCCUGAGCUAACAUCUACUGCCCAUCCUCCUUUCUUUGCUGAGGAAGACUGGCCGGGAGCUAACAUCUGUGCCCAUCUUCCUCUAUUUUAUAUGUGGGAUGCCUGCCACAGCAUGGCUUGACAAGUGGUGCAUAGGUCCACACCCAGGAUCCGAACAGGUAAAAUCUGGGCUGCAGAAGUGGAAUGUGAGAACUUAACUGCUGUGCCACUUGGCUGGCCCCUAAAGGUAAUUUUCCUGAAGUGUUUUAUGUUAUUGCUUGCAUGAUUAUGCUUUUGUUGUAGUUGUAUACUACUCCAUUGUGUGGGUAUAGCACAUUUUAUUUAUGUAUUCACUUAUGAGCAUUUUUCCUGCUUCCAGUUCUUGGCUGUUAUGAAUAAAGCUGCUAUGAUCAUUCAGGCAUAAUUUAUAUAGAUAUCCUUUUUCCUGUUUCUUGCAUAAAUACUUAGGAGUGGGAUUGCUGGGAAAAAUGGUAGGUGUAUGUUUAACAUUAUAAGAUGAUGCCACAAUGUUUUCUAAAGUGGUUGUGACAUUUUGAAAUUCCCGUAUUCCAGUUGUUCCACAUCCUUGCCUAUGCUUGAUAUUAUAGGUCUUUCAGAUUUUAGCCAUUCUAGUGGUUCUAAUGGGUAUGAGGUAAUAUCUCAUUGUGAUUUUAAUACACAUUUCUGUGAUGGCUAACGCUGUUGAGCAGGUUUUCAUGUGGAUGUAAGCCAAUUAUAUAUCUUUUGUGAAAUGUCAUCCAUGUCUUUGCUAUAUUUUUGUAGAGUUGUUUGUCUUCUAAUUGUUGACUUGAAAGAAUUUUGGCUAUUUUAGAGAGUUGCAUUCAUAUAAAGUUUAGUCACUUUGUCACUUGUUAUAAAAGCUUGCUAGAAUUAUAAUAGGGAUGGACUUGGCUUUAUAGGUCAACUUGGGGAAUCUGGACAUUUAGCAAUAGUGAGUUUUUCCAUUAAUAGCUAUGACAGAACUCUCCAUUUAUUUAGGUCUUAUUUUUUCUCGGCUAUGUCUGUAGUGUUUAGUUUAGAGGUCCUGCAUAUAUUGUUAAAUUUAUUUUCAAUUAUUUUCUUUUUAAUACUGUUUUAGAUAGUAUUUUUAUUUCUUUCUCCAGUUACUUGUUACUACUAUAUAUAGAAAUACAAUCCUUUUAUUUUAUAUUAGCCAUAUGUCCUGUGGCCUUGAUAAACUUACCUAUUAAUCUUAGUAGAUUUUUUUUGGUAGAUUCCUUAGAAUACACAUACACACACACACAGAUUUUUUUCAAUAUAUAUUCUUUUAUAUAUGUCUUUUACUUAUUUUUCUUUAAUACACUUGCUAGGAUCUCUAGUGGAAAAGAUACAGUGAAAAUUUACAUUCUUGCCUUGUUCCCAAUCAUAGAGGGAAAGUAUUUAGUUUUUCACCAUUAUAUAUGAUACCAGCUACAAGUUUUCAUAGAUACCUUUAUCAGGUUGAGAAAGUUUUAUUCUAUUCCUAAUUUUCUGAGAUUUUUGUCAUGAAUGGGUGUUGACUUUGAUCAAUUUUCACCUUUAUUUUCUUUAUAUCUGCCUUCCUUAUAUAAAGCCUACAUGAUCUUAAAAUAGGACGCUUUUUAUAUUUUGCUGAAUUGGAUUUGCUUAUAUUUUUUUAAGUCAUGCACUUAUUGGUCUAUGAUUUUUCCUCUCUAAUAAUGUCCUUGCCAGUUUUCUCUAUCAGAACCUCAUAGAAUGGGAAAACAUCAUUAUUCCUCUGCAUUUUAAGGGAGUUUGUGAAAGAUUGGUGUUACUUCUUCCUUAAAUAUUUGAGAUUCAUCAAAGAGACUAUGUAAGUCUGUGCUUUCCUUCAAGGGAAGAUUUUGAUUAUGAAU
ensembl:lncRNA